rnacentral:lncRNA from 1 species
UGGACAGUCAUAUAAUGCUGAUGAUCGGGGUGCUCUCCUGCAGGAUGUAAUUAGAUCCGGAUCGCCGCAAUUCUCGGUUAUGAAUGCACUUGAUCACUGUUGAGCAUCGUAGUAUAAACUCAUGUGAUAUAAAAUCUCCUGUUGCCAAGUACUGUAUGAUUUAAUAGCUAUGAUUGUUUUACUUCUGUUAUCAUCUAGAAUGGUUAGGUAAUGACUUAACUAAAAUAAAAGAUAAAACUAAGGCCUCACUCGUAGUAAGCUUUUUCGGCAAAAUUGUGUCAACCAAGCACACCCAAAGGCUGACAUGCAUUCCAAAGAAAACUAUUAUAUUGGUUAGUCGGGUAAGACUUGCUGAGUACCCCGUACUCAGGGUUUUCCCCUUGUGGUUAUCUUUCAG